rnacentral:rRNA from 1 species
UAACCUGCCCAAGAGAUCGGGAUAACACCUGGAAACAGAUGCUAAUACCGGAUAACAACAGAUGAUGCCUAUCAACUGUUUAAAAGAUGGUUCUGCUAUCACUCUUGGAUGGACCUGCGGUGCAUUAGCUAGUUGGUAGGGUAACGGCCUACCAAGGCGAUGAUGCAUAGCCGAGUUGAGANACUGAUCGGCCACAUUGGGACUGAGACACGGCCCAAACUCCUACGGGAGGCAGCAGGG